UUGGUGGUUAGCCAAUUUUUGGACCCACAAAUGUGUUUCUCAUUGAAACCGUCUUAAAAUGGCGGUUAGGUAUUCAGGCUAGCUCUCAGUAAUCUACCUAAUUCACAGUUGAGGGAAGCCCACACACCAUUUUUAACAUUGUUUCAGUAAGAUAAUGCUUCCUUUGCAAUUGAAGCCCUAGGGAACACCACCACCCAUCUUCCUUUCUAUUAAGUACUGGAGAUAGGGGAGCAGAGCACCAAGCUCUCCUGUAAUGAAGAUUCAUACCCAUGAUGGGUCUUCAACUAAAGUAGCAGGAACUCAGUGGAAAGUAGGAGUGUAUGGGCAUGUGUGUGCACCCUGGACAUCCGUUCUCAAAUUAUUUACUGUUUGUUCUUGUGCCUUUUUUUUCCCCCCUUCUUUUUAUGGCUGCACCCAUGGCAUAUGGAAGUUCCCAGGCUAGGAGUCGAAUCGGAGCUGUAGCCCCCGGCCUACGCCUGAGCCACAGCAACGCAGGAUCCAAGCCGAGUCUGCAACCUACACCACAGCUCAUGGCAACGCCGGAUCGUUAACCCACUGAGCAAGAGCAGGGACCGAACCCGCAACCUCAUGGUCCCUAGUCGGAUUCGCUAACCACUGCGCCACGACAGGAACUCCUAUAGACUUUUUAAAAUGUAGGCUUCUGGUUCUUUUCUUUUUGUCUUUUUGUCUCUUUAGGCCCGCACCCACAGCAUAUGGAGGUUCCCAGACUAGGGGUCUAAUCGGAACUGUAGCUGCUGGCCUACACCACAGCCACAGCAAUGUGGGAUCCAAGCCCUGUCUGCGACUUACACCACAGCUCAUGGCAACACCAGAUCCUUAACCCGCUGAGGGAGGCCAGGGAUUGAACCUGCAACCUCAUGGUUCCUAGUGGGAUUCGUUUCUGCUGCGCCAUGAUGGGAACUCCUGAUUAUUUUCUUCAUUGAGUAAGGUUCUGGCGUAGGGGAAAUUAUUUUCACUGGCUAAGAUAUGCCUAAAAACAGGAAAAAAAAUUCCUGAUUACUAAAACAUAAAACUGGAAUAUAAACAUAGGUACUAUGUUUAUAUAAACAUAGGUACUAUGCAAAUAAGCUAAAGUCAGGUUGUUGGAAUAAUGUUUAUAACAAACUUAUAAGUAGUAUUAAGCUUGUAGAGUAUUUGGGAAUGACAAAUGAAAGCAGGAAGAUGAACUCCAGUGCUUUUGUCCUGCCAACAUGUACUCUCAUUCUUCCAAAUUGUCCUUAAAUUCCUACUCUCCCGAAAUCCUUCUCUAAGCAAGAACAUGGCGCCACAGAACUGUAUGUAUAUAAAAGGAAACAGAUCAAGUGCUUUAUGGGUAGAGCAAAAAGAACAAGAUUCAGAAAUUGUAGAGUAGCUGCAAACACGGCCCACUCACAGUUAGGAACUCUAAAUAUUACAAUAUUUUCUGAUCCUGAGAAAGUCACUUUAUUUCUCAGGAAAUUAAUAUAAUGAAUGAUUGAAAUAAAGCAGUCCUAUUUUUUUUCUAGUUCUCCCAUCUGUGAGUAGUCAUCUUAGAUUCUCUGCAGUCUUCAAAUGCUAGUGUGGUGAGGCUCUUAUCCUGUCAGCUGUUAUAGGCUCCAGUCUUACACUCCUUUUAGAGAAUGUGUAUGCUUGUGAGUGACUUGACAGCAGGCCCCCAAAGCUAGCCUUGUUUUCUAGAGGGAGUAAUGCCAGUACCCUUAGAUGCAAAGAGAAUCAAACACUUUGUGAUGCAUCCACUCAAGGUCCCACAGCACGAGGUACCAGCUUCACUCCAACCUCUGCUCCCAGUAGAUAAAGAGAGUCAUACUGUUUGUCAAGUCCUCAGCUCACAAGUACUUUACACAUGUUACUGUGUCAGUCCCCACGGUUACUCUGAGGGAUGGGGGUGUGGUCCUCAUUUUACAAUUGAGGAAAUUUUCCAAGAACCAGUUAGCAAUGGAGCCAGUGAAUGGUGAAACUGGAUUCAAAGCUGCCAUGAGGGGAGUGAACCCAUAUCUCCCUUAUUUGAACUUGCCCACCAAACUAGCUAAGAAAACCAAAAAGCCUUCUCUGAGUUAUCUUUACACUCGCCAGCAACUCUCAGGACCCUGGUUCCUCUGCCUGUGGGAUCUGGGCCCUACAGCUCCCAGAGCUAGCUCAUAUCAAGAUCCCCCCAAAUCCAGGGCAAGCCUGUCACAUUCCAGCCCUUCUCAAGGCUGAGGUAAAUGCCUCUGCAGCUAGAAACCCUGUCACCUCUAACCCAGAUGAAACUCUGCAGCUUAAUAGUACCUUAACAGUACCUUACCUUAACAGUACCUUAAUAUCAAUAUUAAGGUACUGUUCCAAAAGAAGCCUUCAAACGUGAAGUCCCUUCAUGCCUACUGGCGAUGCUGGGAGGGCCAGAGGACAAGCUCCCCUGCCAAGCAGGAUACCUCAGGGGCAAGUCUGCAUGAAGAUUGUAGUCAAAAGGGAAAGAAACAAAAUCCAAGGAACUGGAGUUGUCAGGAGAUCCUACAAAGGUUUCUUCCAAUAACUUCAAAGAUAGCUACUUCUAGAUCGCUGAAUUCCUAACCACUAAUAGAGAGUCCAAAUUUAGGGUAGAGACCCCCAGAUAUUUCUCAGAAGGGCAGUUCUCAAAGUACACUCCUAAGAACAGCAACGAUAACCUCACCUGAGAACUUGUUCAUGCAUAUUAUCAAGCUCCAUCUCAAAUUCACUGAGCAGUGGGGGUAACAGAAUCUGUACUUUAACAAGCCCUCCAGGGGAUCCUGGUGGAUACUCACCUUUGAAAGCCAUUGGCCUAGGAAGAUGCAGGAUGAUCCUAGGUUCUCCACAUUUAACCUAGGAAUAACCCUCAACAGCUGCCUGAGGUGAGAUUCUGCCUCCCAUCUCCCACCCAACUCUAACCACUGCUGUGGUUAGAGUUAGGAGAUGCAACCAAGACUAACUGCCUAGUUGCUCAUUUUUUUUCCUUGAAAACUCCAAGGAAAUUUUUGGGCAGACAGUAGAUGAUUAAGUUGGAAUUUUAAAACUCACUGUUUAUGAUAAGGGAAUUGGAAAUAAAUGUCUGUAGUAGGGAUUUGAUUAAAAACAAAUUCUGUGAGUAUUGGGACCAAUACUGACCAACACUAUGUUCAUUCUCUUUGCCUAAUGUAUUCUCAUUGCCUUACUAUAUUCUCCUUGCCUAACACAGUAUAGGCAUCAAGUGUUCAACAUCUGUUGCUUGAAUGAAUAAAUGAAUAUAUGUUCAUAUACAUUCAAUCCUGAGGUACAAUGCAGCUAUAAAAAAAGCUUUGUGAUAGCAAUCUCACUCCCACAUAUUUGCCCAAAAACCUGAAAGUCAGCGUUUAUAGCAACUUUAUUCACAACUGCCCAAAACUGAAACAAACUAAAUGUCCUUCACCAGGCGAAUGGAUCAAGUGGAGACUUCAUUUAGGGAAGAUGUUGAGGGGACCUCAUUUUAUAUGUUACUGCUUAAAUUAUAAGAAUUUAUUUGUGUAUUAUGUAAUUAAGAAAUAACAUUUUAUAGAGACCGGAAGUAUAAACUCUAAAAAUAAUAAUAGUUACCUCUGGUUGGUAAGAUAAGUGAUUUUUUUUAUUUGUAGUUUCCAGUUUUUCUAUAUAAACAGGUUAUGCUUUUUUAACUAGAAAAAAAAAAAAAA
ensembl:lncRNA